CGCGUAGGCGGCUUGGUCAGUCGGAUGUGAAAGCCCCGGGCUUAACCUGGGAAUUGCAUUCGAUACUGCCAGGCUAGAAUGUAGUAGAGGGAAGUGGAAUUCCGGGUGUAGCGGUGAAAUGCGUAGAUAUCCGGAGGAACAUCAGUGGCGAAGGCGACUUCCUGGACUAACAUUGACGCUGAGGUGCGAAAGCGUGGGGAGCAAACA
rnacentral:rRNA from 1 species